GGACCGUUGGUGUAGUGGUAGCACACCACCCUUCCAAGGUGGCAGGUCGGGUUCGAGCCCCGGACGGUUCA